GGUCUGGUGGUGUAGUUGGUUAUCACGUCAGUCUAACAGCUCGUCUCUCGUCUGGUUCACUGAAGGUCUCCGGUUCAAGUCCGGGCUAGAUCA